AGCAUAUCAAUAAGCGGAGGAAAAGAAACUAACAAGGAUUCCCCUAGUAACUGCGAGUGAAGCGGGAAAAGCUCAAAUUUAAAAUCUGGCGGUCUUUGGCUGUCCGAGUUGUAAUCUAGAGAAGUGUUAUCCGUGCUGGACCGUGUACAAGUCUCCUGGAAUGGAGCGUCAUAGAGGGUGAGAAUCCCGUCUUUGACACGGACUGCCAGGACUUUGUGAUGCGCUCUCAAAGAGUCGAGUUGUUUGGGAAUGCAGCUCAAAAUGGGUGGUAAAUUCCAUCUAAAGCUAAAUAUUGGCGAGAGACCGAUAGCGAACAAGUACCGUGAGGGAAAGAUGAAAAGAACUUUGGAAAGAGAGUUAAACAGUACGUGAAAUUGCUGAAAGGGAAACGCUUGAAGUCAGUCGCGUUGUCCAGGGAUCAACCUUGCUUUUGCUUGGUGCACUUUCUGGUUGACGGGUCAGCAUCAAUUUUGACUAUUGGAAAAAGAUUAGGGGAAUGUGGCAUCUUUGGAUGUGUUAUAGCCCUUGGUUGCAUACAAUGGUUGGGAUUGAGGAACUCAGCACGCCGCAAGGCCGGGUUUUAACCACGUACGUGCUUAGGAUGCUGGCAUAAUGGCUUUAAUCGACCCGUCUUGAAACACGGACCAAGGAGUCUAACAUGCCUGCGAGUGUUUGGGUGGAAAACUCGAGCGCGUAAUGAAAGUGAAAGUUGAGAUCCCUGUCGUGGGGAGCAUCGACGCCCGGACCAGACCUUUUGUGACGGUUCCGCGGUAGAGCAUGUAUGUUGGGACCCGAAAGAUGGUGAACUAUGCCUGAAUAGGGUGAAGCCAGAGGAAACUCUGGUGGAGGCUCGUAGCGAUUCUGACGUGCAAAUCGAUCGUCAAAUUUGGGUAUAGGGGCGAAAGACUAAUCGAACCAUCUAGUAGCUGGUUCCUGC
rnacentral:rRNA from 1 species